rnacentral:rRNA from 1 species
AGAGAGGGAGCUUGCUUCCUCAAUCGAGUGGCGAACGGGUGAGUAACGCGUGAGGAACCUGCCUCAAAGAGGGGGACAACAGUUAGAAAUAGCUGCUAAUACCGCAUAAGCGCACGGUUCCGCAUGGAACAGUGUGAAAAACUCCGGUGGUGUGAGAUGGACCCGCGUCUGAUUAGCCAGUUGGCGGGGUAACGGCCCACCAAAGCGACGAUCAGUAGCCGGCCUGAGAGGGUGAACGGCCACAUUGGGACUGAGACACGGCCCAGACUCC